GGGAAAGUUUUUCGGUGUAGGAUGAGGCUAUAUUGUAUCAGCUAGUUGGUGAGGUAAUGGCUCACCAAGGCUAUGACGCAUAACUGGUCUGAGAGGAUGAUCAGUCACACUGGAACUGAGACACGGUCCAGACUCCUACGGGAGGCAGCAGUAGGGAAUAUUGCUCAAUGGGGGAAACCCUGAAGCACCAACGCCGCGUGGAGGAUGACACUUUUCGGAGCGUAAACUCCUUUUGUUAGGGAAGAACAAUGACGGUACCUAACGAAUAAGCACCGGCUAACUCCGUGCCAGCAGCCGCGGUAAUACGGAGGGUGCAAGCGUUACUCGGAAUCACUGGGCGUAAAGGACGCGUAGGCGGAUUAUCAAGUCUCUUGUGAAAUCCUAUGGCUUAACCAUAGAACUGCUUGGGAAACUGAUAAUCUAGAGUGAGGGAGAGGCAGAUGGAAUUGGUGGUGUAGGGGUAAAAUCCGUAGAGAUCACCAGGAAUACCCAUUGCGAAGGCGAUCUGCUGGAACUCAACUGACGCUAAUGCGUGAAAGCGUGGGGAGCAAACAGGAUUAGAUACCCUGGUAGUCCACGCCCUAAACGAUGUAUACUAGUUGUUGCUAAGCUAGUCUUGGCAGUAAUGCACCUAACGGAUUAAGUAUACCGCCUGGGGAGUACGGUCGCAAGAUUAAAACUCAAAGGAAUAGACGGGGACCCGCACAAGCGGUGGAGCAUGUGGUUUAAUUCGAAGAUACGCGAAGAACCUUACCCGGACUUGAUAUCUAACAAAUCAUCUAGAGAUAGAAGAGUGUCUGCUUGCAGAAAUGUUAAGACAGGUGCUGCACGGCUGUCGUCAGCUCGUGUCGUGAGAUGUUGGGUUAAGUCCCGCAACGAGCGCAACCCACGUCAUUAGUUGCUAACAGUUCGGCUGAGCACUCUAAUGAGACUGCCUUCGUAAGGAGGAGGAAGGUGUGGACGACGUCAAGU
rnacentral:rRNA from 1 species